GACGGAGGGGGCUAGCGUUGUUCGGAAUGACUGGGCGUAAAGGGUGCGUAGGCGGUUUUUUAAGUGAGGCGUGAAAGCCCUGGGCUUAACCCAGGAAUUGCGUUUCAGACUGGAAGGCUUGAGUACGAGAGAGGUAAGUGGAAUUCCUAGUGUAGAGGUGAAAUUCGUAGAUAUUAGGAAGAACACCAGUGGCGAAGGCGGCUUACUGGCUCGUAACUGACGCUGAGGCACGAAAGCGUGGGGAGCAAACAGGAUUAGAUACCCUGGUAGUCCACGCUGUAAACGAUGUGUGCUAGACGUUGGAGGGGAACCUUCAGUGUCGCAGCUAACGCAUUAAGCACACCGCCUGGGGAGUACGGUCGCAAGAUUA
rnacentral:rRNA from 1 species